GAUGAACGCUAGCGGCAGGCUUAACACAUGCAAGUCGAGGGGUAUAGGGAGCUUGCUUCCUAGAGACCGGCGCACGGGUGCGUAACGCGUAUGCAAUCUACCUUUUGCAGAGGGAUAGCCCAGAGAAAUUUGGAUUAAUACCUCAUAGUAUAGCAAUUUCGCAUGAAACCACUAUUAAAGUUCCAACGGUGAAAGAUGAGCAUGCGUCCCAUUAGCUAGAUGGUAAGGUAACGGCUUACCAAGGCUACGAUGGGUAGGGGUCCUGAGAGGGAGAUCCCCCACACUGGUACUGAGACACGGACCAGACUCC
rnacentral:rRNA from 1 species